GAUGGUGAAUAUUUGCACAAUCGCAAGAUUCAUCUUGAUGUGGCUAAGACAGAUCCUCCAUGCUCUUCUCCACAGCCCAAGUAUUUCAUAGAUCACAAGGUUUGGUAUGAAGACUACCUUCGACAAGAAAGCCUCCUGAUAGAAGAAGAUGAGGCAGUGGAAGGACUUGAUGAAACUCCCAAUUUUGUUGAGGAAGUUGCCGUAAGAAAAAGGACACUCUUUAUUUCAAAUCUCUCUUUAAAAACUAAAAUACCAGACAUGUAAGUAGCGUAGCACCUUUUAGUAUCCUCUUGUGUUCUUGUGGCUUUGUUGAGUUUGCUUCUGCUAACAAAGCAAAGGAGGCGCUGCAAAAGAAGAACGGAGGAAAAUUGCAGCGUCAUUAUAUUUCUCUUGAUGUGGCUGAGAUAGCUCCAUACCCUCUCCGACCCAAGUACAACCUUGCAGAGAAGCUUUGGAACGAAGACUGCCUUGGACGAGAAAACCUUAUGAUAGAAGAAGCUGAUUGGCAGACAAAACCCAAUAGGAAAAUGAAGCUCUAUGGGGUUCAUAAGAAGGUAAUCUUCAGUGUAUCUCGCGGUAAGAAGAUUACCUUCUCUGACGACAAGUGAUAGAAGAAGAAGAAGAAGAAGCUCUUUAGCGUUUUAACGUGUGAUACAAUGCUACUUUUUUGAAUAACUUGGGUUUUUCAGAGAAUGUUUUUCCCUUGAGUCCUUAAUCUUUGAUUGUUGUCAUGAAAGCAUAUAUAAGUUAUGUUCUUGUACUUCAAUAGAUUCAAGUUAUGUUCCUAGAAGCUCAGCUUUGUUUUGCCUCUAUUUCAAAUAAUGUUAUUAGUUAUGGCGUAAAAAAAGACCAAACCUAGACUAUAUUGCUUGAUCUUACGAUCCAUAAGCAAAGUACAUAAUGUGUGAUAUAACUGCCGUAGU